rnacentral:lncRNA from 1 species
UCCUGAACACAAAAUGGCGACACGUGGUUAGCAUUCGUCGCCAACGAGAAAUUGGGGUCGGCCCGAAAGCUCUAGAAUGCACCCCUCUUCCUCCCCGGGGCCUUCCACCUCCGCGAGUUUUAUGACUUAAAAAAGCCCACAGGCUGGUCUGAAGAGGAAGACAAACAUAAAGAUGAAGUGCUUAAUUCAAGGUCACACAAUGUCGGGGAUGGACCUCCAGAUUUCCUUACUGGUGAGACGUGGUCUUGUAACACAGUGGUUAAGAAUGUGACUUUGGAGCCAGCCUGCUAGGGGCUGAAUUCUGACUCAGCCAUUUACUAACUGUGUGACCUUAGGUGGAGUCUCACUCUGUAGCCCAAGCUGGAGUGGCGUGAUCUCGACUCACUGCAACCUCCGCCUCCUGGGAUCAAGUGAUUCUCGUGCCUCAGCCUCCUGAGUAGCCGGGACUACAGGUCACAGAAUUUUCCACACUCCUUGACAGAGGUGCUUAACCCUUAUCCAUCAGCAUUCUCAGACAGCACCUCCGGUUAGGGACAGUAUCUGACCGUCCGACAUCCCUGCAGCCCCCAUGUGUCACACAGACUCAGCCUCAGGUAGAUGGUUUCCGUAGAUGGUGGCUUUCUUUGGACCCUUGACAUCAACCAGUUACUAUUUGGUCUAGGGGUCUCACCAACGCUGCUCAUCUAGCAGGGCCACACAUAACAAAUAGAAGCAGAGCAAGCCCUGGAACUCCUGCCUGACAGUGACACGACGACAGAAACAUCUUACCAGUCAGAGGACCAUGAGAAAUAGAUUCAAGGAGCAUUCCACGUGCAAGUGAGUCUUGGCCCCAUCUGCCUUUGGAUUUUAGCCGUGAACUGGAAGGUAUUGGAAAGAAGACCCUCAGAAAUAGCUUAAUCAAAAUCCCUGCGUCUGAACCAAGUGCCUUAUUUCUCUGUGGGCCUCAAGCUUCGCUGACAUCUGUGGAGCACACUGUCCUAACAGGAGUGCUGUCUGAUUUCCCAACGCUCUGCAAAACAAACAGCCUGGAAGGGUGGCUGGUGGAAGGUGGUUUUUAGAGAGAGACUUGUAGAUAACAGGAAAGUGAAGGCUGUAAGGAAGGUUGUAAUUAAACAGCACAUGGAAACACAAUCACAUUAUUGUCCCAUUCCAUAGGGAUAAUGAUGACCACUUCAGUGGGAAAAGGAGAGGUUUUAAGUCAUUAGGGACUAUGGGCCACCUUUUAGGAAGAUUUAUUUUCAAAGGUUAAAAUAGUGUUUUGGCAAUUCAAGUUUCAUUUUCAGAAAAUGUAAUUGAUGGGAACCUCAGUGACUCUGGAUGAAUAAGAUGCUGUUGAGUGGCUCUGACUUGGGCCAGCCGUGCUUCUCACAGGACCUUGGAGACCAAGGUCACUGUGAUCUCAGGUUCAGGGGGCAAGUCCUCUCCACACAGCCCUAGUUGGCCUCACAGCUGAAAAUGUCUCCCUUACUGUUGGACUCCUUUGUUCACCCACAUGAGUUUGUGAAUAAAUCCUUUCCAGUCUGAAA